UGGCAAGAUUAUGGCGAAGCUGAGUGUUAAUAGUGUCCAGCUACACCAUAUUUUGCCCACGG
rnacentral:pre_miRNA from 1 species